CGGAGCCGGCUCCCUCAGCUUGCAAGGCGGUGUGGAGGGAGAGGCGCAGGCGGGAACCAGGGCUGCGCGCGGCGCUUCCGGGCCAGCGUGAGUUCCGGGUGGGCGUGGACUCGGCGGGCCCGGCACUCAGAGCGGCCUGCUGGCCCCGCCUGCCCUGGGCAGUGAAGGGCUUAGCACCUGGUCCAGCAGCUGCUGUGCUCGAGUUCUCGCGGGGCCUUAGCUGCCUCCCCGCGGGGCAGGGCUUGGGACCUGCAGCCCGCCAUGCCUGAGCUUCCCCCCGCCCCCGCCGUGGGCUCCUGUGCGGCCCGAGCCUCCCCGACGAGCGCCGCCCCCUGCUCCACGAUGCCCAGUCCCAUCGACCACCCAAGGGCUGAGGAGUGCGGGCUCACGGUUACAGGAUUCCCAUUUCAGAACUACGACCAUUUGAAAAAUAGAAGAUUUAAAGAUUGACGCAAAGUGCAUGUACCAUGAUACACCAGGUCUCAUCUCCUGAAUAUUUGUCCUGCCCUGAGUUUUCACCUGAGGCCACCUGUACAACUGACUAGAGUAGUUCCACUGAUUGCUAAAAUGGAACAGGCAGGAUUGGUAUUGACUGUCCAAGAGCAAAGUCAGAUACAGAUUUUACUCCUUGUCUUAGGAAUUGGCUGCACCCUCUGCCAUAUUAAUUAAAUAUGAAGUCAAUCUACUCUGGUUUGACUAAAGAAUUCCCACCUUUGAGUUGUUCCUGUGUUGCAAUAUUAUCAUAAGGCUCAAGCUACCAGAGACACCCACUGUCACACUGGAGCCUGCUUCUGACCAAAACAUCCUCUGUCAAGCUAUAGACUGCUUCUGACCUCAGGUUUGCCAUUCUGAGCACAUAACAAAAAUAAAACAAGAAAAAGCAUAAGGUAUGAAAUGUUAUUCAAAAAAAGAAUGAUGAAACAAUGAACUAAAGCCUGGGCAGUAAAUAAUUCUGUCUUCAAGAUCCCACAUGGAAAAUUUUUUAGAAAGACUUCCUACCUUUCCUACUGUUUGUAAUGUGCAUCUGGAAUACUAGAGAAAGGGUCCCUAAGGUUUGCUGGAAAAAUACCUUAGCUUCUGAGUCUUAGCUUUAUUACUAAUAAACACUGGAUUUCUGGUAGUAGAGAAGGAAAUUUAGUAUUUCAUGAUGGUGAAAGAUGAAAAGAGAGGCUUUAUGGCUGUAUGAUUUGGGUAGAGCUUUUCAGUUAAUUAACGAAGAAAUAUCUGAAUUGAGUCAAUGAGGUACAGAGUUUAUUUCAUACAGAUACUUUUAAACUUCAUAAUGCCAUGACAUACCUGAUUUGUUACUAAUGUCCACAACUUAUCCACGUGUUUAUGGCAAAAAAAAAGUGCACGAAGAAGAAAAUUAUAGUUUCAAAAAUUUCUAGAAUUUGGUUUCUGGAAGAAAAUACAAGUGUCUGUGUGUUUGUGUACAUAUAUUCUAGAUAGAUGAGCCAGUAAGAUAGAGUGAGCAUUAUUUUUUCUUAUCCAAAGAAAAAUAAAAGCAAUGCACAGGUAGAAGACCUGGUAAAUUUUGUAUCAUCAUAACCACCUAAAAGUUUCGUGUGGGAAGGUAAGUCAUAACUCCAAAUAUUUUUUUCUACUUAAAAAUUAAAAUUUGUACAAGAAUAUUUGAUCCAGAAGAAAGAAAUAUAUACAUAAGGAAUUACUAGAAUUUGAAUGCAGAGCAUUUCAAACUAUCUUUAAUCCAAUGAUAUAGUUCUUAUAAAUUAAAAGUCAACAUGGCAAAUUACAAAUGUAAUAUUUAAGUGUGUCCUCAAGAAACUUAAAUAUAAAUAUUGCAAUAAUUUCUGUUAAAUUUAGUUUUAAUUCUCUUUAGUAAUGUAAAAUUCAUACCUUUAUUUUCAAAUAUAACCAUUGAGAUAAGAUCCAUUUGUCCUGGUGGAAAGUAGAAACAAAAGUGCUUUGCCUGGCAGCAAAAGAUACAAAACUUUAUCUGCCAAAACAUUCUGAGCUAAUGCAGAACAAAGGUUUGCUGCUGGGGAGUAGGGGUUGCUGAGAAAGCCUAGUUUUAAAUCCCAGGUGCAGAGUUUUAGUGGUCCAAACAGUAGAAUUGGAUCCCCACCACCACCACUCAGCAGCCUAACCCAGAGAAAGAAGCAAGAGAAGCUUGCUGCUGGGGAAGGAUCAAGAGUAAAGAUAAGAUCCCUACUUUUGCACCAAGUGUCCAGGGACUGAACAAAAUUAGGGACAAAGCAGGAACUCAGAAGAAAGAUCUAAGCAUCACUCUAAGCCCAAGGCAAGAGCAGCCCAUCUUUAAUUAAAACCACACUGGGGGCUGGGCGCAGUGGCUCAUGCCUGUAAUCCCAGCACUUUGGGAGGCCGAGGCAGGUGGAUCACAAGGUCAGGAGAUGGAGACCAUCCUGGCUAACACGGUGAAACCCUGUCUCUAAUAAAAAAUACAAAAAAAAUUAGCCAGGCGUGGUGGUGGGCACCUGUAGUCCCAGCUACUCAGGAGGCUGAUGCAGGAGAAUGGUGUGAACCCGGGAGGCGGAGCUUUGCAGUGAGCCAAGAUCACACCACUGCACUCCAGCCUGGGUGACAGAGCGAGACUCGGUCACAAAGAAAAACAAAACAAAACAAAAAACAAAAACAAAAAAAGAAAACACUGGGAAUUUGAUGUCUGUGGAGCACUGAAAAUGAUAAAAACAAAACACAAACCUAGUUCAACUCAUGACAAGACAGAAUUCCUUACGCUGACUGCUUGACAGAUGAAAAUGUGUGCCCAUUUCUCUGUGUAAUUUUCAUUUACCUUGGUUCCUAGCAUUCUUCUACAAAUAGUUUCUGGCUUUCAACCAAACAUGAGAUACACAAAGAGCCAAGAAGAAAACAACCUGUUUUCAAUAGAUAAAGCAAACAACAUAACUAGACCUAAAGAUGUGUCUGUGAGUCGGGACUAGGAUUAAUACAUACAUUUAAUACAUGUAAUAUUUAUUUAUUUCAUUGUAUGCAAUUUUUACAUAAAAACUAUAGUCUAUAGUCGUGUUGCAGAUUCAAGUUAAUAAUAUGCAAAGUAUUCAAGGGGAAAUGUAUUGAUAUCUUCAAUAUACAUUGAAAUUUAUUCAAAAAGGAAAUGUGUUAAUGGACGAAAGAUCAAUAAAUUAAAAGUGUCUGACAAAACAAUAUAAUAAAAUCUUAAUUAUAGAACCCUGAGGGUAUGUAAAUUCAUUCUUUUUUUAAAAUUUGAAAAUGUUUACAAUAUAAUAUUGGAAAAUAUAAAUUAGAUGGCAUAUAUUUCAGAAAAUCCGUAUUGUGCAUUGUGCAGAAAUAUACUCCAGAAUAAUUAAAGGGUUCAAUUUAGGAGAAUAAACUUAAAAGUGUUAGAAAAAAAUAGAAAACGGUCCUAGUGAUUUCAGUAUCAGAAAGGAUUUAGUAAACAAGACAAAACCUGGACUCAAAAUUUCCAAAGAUAAGAUCUCAAUGUUAUAAAAAUGUGUAAACCCUCCCAUAAUAUAUACUGACAUAAAAUGCCAAAUUGCAGUGCACUGCAUUGUCACAAAAAAGUGAAAAAUAUGAAUAAUGAAAUUAGCAAAUAUUAAAUUUCUUAGCACUCUGUAAUUUCU
rnacentral:lncRNA from 1 species